rnacentral:rRNA from 1 species
UGUGAUAGACACCAGUGGCGAGGCGGCUGUCUGGUCUGUAACUGACGCUGAGGCUCGAAAGCAUGGGUAGCGAACAGGAUUAGAUACCCUGGUAGAUCAUGCCGUAAACGAUGAGUGCUAAGUGUUGGAGGGUUUCCGCCCUUCAGUGCUGCAGCUAACGCACCAAGAACUCCACCUGGGGAGUACGACCGCAAGGUUGAAACUCAAAGGAAUUGACGGGGGCCCGCACAAGCGGUGGAGCAUGUGGUUUAAUUCGAAGCUACGCGAAGAACCUUACCAGGUCUUGACAUCUUCUGCCAACCUAAGAGAUUAGGCGUUCCCUUCGGGGACAGAGUGACAGGUGGUGCAUGGUUGUCGUCAGCUCGUGUCGUGAGAUGUGGGGUUAAGUCUUGUAUCGAGCGCAACCCUCUUUGUUAGUUGCCAGCAUUCAGUUGGGCACUCUAGUGAGACUGCGGGUGACAAACCGGAGAAAGGUGGGGAUGACAUCAAAUCAUCAUGCCCCUUAUGACUUGGGCUAAAA